GGGGUGUAGCUCCAAUUGGCAGAGCAGCGGAUUCCAAAUCCGCGUGUUGGGAGUUCGAAUCUCUCCACCCCUGCCA
rnacentral:tRNA from 2 species